CACCGGACAGGUAGAGUGAGAUAAUGGGGAGAGAGAGAUGAGGUGAUAGGUUAGUGAAGGGUCAGUGAUGAAUAAAAGGAGAAGCUACAUGAUAGGGAGGGAUUCAGACAGCAGGAUACUAGAGGUGGGGGAAUGGAAAUAGCUCUGUACUGAACAGUCUCGCUCUUCUCUGCCAAGGCUUCUGGAGUAUGUGGUGCCAGCUCAGUACACUGGUACUUUGAAGCCUCUCUGCAGAUGCCUUAGGAAACUGGCUGAGAAAAAGCAGCAGGAAGAAGAAGCAGCUGCUUGCCUCGACUACAGUGGAUGAGUGCAACUCCCUACACCCCAGGGGCUGCUGGUGCGACUCCUGGUAGUAGCCUCAUCCCCUUAUGAAAGAGAAGGACACGGGUGUGCUGCCUUGCAGUUACUAAAGGCCCUGCACCAAAAUAUCCAUGCAGCAGUGGGUGAGAUGUGGGUAGUAAAGAUCCCAUCUCUGCUGCAGUUCAU